UGGAUGAUCUCUUUUCGAGUUCAAACGAUGUUAUUGGACCACCUGGAUGACCUGGCACAGUUUUGCCAGUCGUUUGGUCUAAAGUUCUAGAUUAGGGAAGUAUACGCAUACGCCAUUUUGGUUCGACACAACGGAUGUAAACAACAUCAGAGCGUAUGUAUGUAUACAAUCUUACGAGUAAAAAAUGCAAUUUUUUCGAUUGUUCGCGGGUUCAGGUGAAUUUUUAAGUAGUUUCAAGCUAAAGACAAUGAAAUUUCCUAUCGAUUGAUGUUAAAUUUUUGUUAUUUCGCGAAAAAUUGACGAUUUUAUGAAUACUUCUAUUACCCGAUUUUUUCAUACUAUAUGUGUCAAUUUUAAACUAAAAAUACUCAAAAUCUUCAGUGAACACACAGGUAUUUUAAUAUAUCAAAAUGUUCGUAAUUUCAUCGUCUUUAAAAUGGGCGUUUAUCGAAAGCUUUACAUGCAACCGUUCAAAAGUUGUAGAAGUUUAAAGUUGCGAAAACAAUGCAAAAACCAACCGCGGAUGGUAAGUAUUGAACUUUGAACUAGAAUUACUCAAAAUUUUCAACGAACACAUAGGUAUAUUAAUACAGCAAAACGUUCGUUAUUUUAUCCUUUUUAAAAUGGGUCUUUACCGAAAGCUCUACCUUCUACCGUUCAAAAAUUCUUGAAGAUCAAAGUUGCGGAAAGUGUUCAAAUUGUGUUAUCACUGUUAUCAGUCACUUAGUGUUGAUUGUAGAACAUUUUCCGCAACUUUGAUCUUCAAGAAUUUUUGAACGGUAGAAGGUAGAGCUUUCGGUAAAGACCCAUUUUAAAAAAGAUAAAAUAACGAACGUUUUGCUGUAUUAAUAUACCUAUGUGUUCGUUGAAAAUUUUGAGUAAUUCUAGUUCAAAGUUCAAUACUUACCAUCCGCGGUUGGUUUUUGCAUUGUUUUCGCAACUUUAAACUUCUACAACUUUUGAACGGUUGCAUGUAGAGCUUUCGAUAAACACUCAUUUUAAAGACGAAGAAAUUACGAACAUUUUGCUAUAUUAAAAUACCUGUGUGUUCACUGAAGAUUUCGAGUAUUUUUAGUUUAAAGUUGACACAUAUAGUAUGAAAAAAUCGGAUAAUAUAAGUAUUCAGAAAAUCGUCAAUUUUGCGCGAAAUAACAAAAAUUUAACAUCAAUCGAUAGGAAAUUUCAUUGUCUUUAGCUGGAAACUACUUAAAAAUUCACCCGAACCCGCGAACAAUCGAAAAAAUUGCAUUUUUUACACCUAAGAUUGUAUGCGUACAUACGUUCUAAUGUUGUUUACAUCCGUUGUGUCGAACCAAAAUGGCGUAUGCGUAUACUUCCCUAAUCUAGAACUUUAGUUUGGUCGUGUCGCAGGUUUGCUUGUUUGCGAGCAAAAUUUUACCAUUUCCAAAUUUCAUUUCUUUCUAUUUUCAUUUCUGCUUGUUGACUUGCCCGUCGCUCAGAAACAGAAAUCACCGGAGGCCGAAGCCACCAGGAGUUGCUGCUCAAAAAUGUACACGGAAAAUUUUUCCAUUCAAGAAGAAAAAUAUCGUCUAUCAAUUCACUCACUGUUUUCUUUACCACCAGCCAGUUCACAAUUUCACAUAGCGAUAAUCAAAUCAAAGCUCUACAGUCUACAGCGCCAAUAUAAUAUCCACAUCUCAGUUCUCUAGAUGACAUGAAUAGAAUAACUCCUGAUUUUUCCUUUCUCAGCGAGACCAAGCAACGUUCAAAAUAUGCAUCUUAUUAUACAAUCCUCGAAGUCGAAACCUCGAUCGCUUGAUAACUGUAGUUUUUGUACAUUCGUUUUUGAAAACCCUUCAAAUAUGUCGGUCGUCUCCAUUCUAAACUUUUGUCUGCUUAUCAUUUUUUUAAAAAAUUUCUUAAGCGAAAAAAAUGAAUACAAUUUUAUACAACAUUAAAAAAGCUAAAUAGGAAAACUAUUCACCAAAUUUCGAUACAUGCAGAUAUAAUCCGUUAGUAAUUACAUACCCACUAAUCAACAAAUAUGAAGGAAAAACAUAAAUAACAAGUCAAAAUUAUAUUUCAAAUAAUUACGAAAAAACCAUAAAAUUCGCAACAUUCAGUUUCUCUCAGUUUUAAUUAACAUUGUUCGACCAUCUUAAAUUAAUUUUAAAAAAUUGCUUAUUAAUGUUUUAAAUUCGAAUAAACAAUUCGAAUCAUAAACUUAUUUACACAGAACAAAAAAAAAAAACAAA